GUACUUGCUUCGACAGUACAUAUACUAAAAUUGGAACGAUACAGAGAAGAUUAGCAUGGCCCCUGUGCAAGGAUGACACGAAAAAAAUGUAUAUAUAUAUAUAUAUAU